UUAUAAGUGGAUGUGACGGCAGAAGAAACAGUCAGAGUGAUGUGAGCUGAGAGCUCCACCAAUCUUAAAAAGUCUUCCCUGCGAGAGUCACCAGAAAGGAACACAGACCUGCCAGUACCUUGAGGGGAACACCCAAGCUACAGAAAAGAAAUUCUAGGUUUGUCCAAUGGGGAGCAGCAGAUGGCUGUAGGUGGAAAUGGGAACAAGGAGAUACAUGGAGUAUCAGUUCAGUUCAGUCACUCAGUCAUGUCAGACUCUUUGCGACCCCAUAAAUCACAGCACACCAGUUGGAGAAGACUCUUAAGAGUCCCUUGGACUUCAAGGAGAUCCAACCAGUCCAUCCU